rnacentral:rRNA from 1 species
UUCGCAAUGCCCGAAAGGGUGACGAAGCGACGCCGCGUGUGGGAAGAAGGCCUUCGGGUUGUAAACCACUGUCGGGAGUUAGGAAAUGCAGGUGCGUUAAUAGCGCACUUGCUUGACUAAGGCUCCAGAGGAAGCCACGGCUAACUCUGUGCCAGCAGCCGCGGUAAUACAGAGGCGGCAAGCGUUGUUCGGAAUUAUUGGGCGUAAAGAGCACGUAGGCGGCCUUGCAAGUCAGUUGUGAAAGCCUUCCGCUUAACGGAAGAACGGCAUCUGAUACUACAGGGCUUGAGUACGGGAGGGGAGAGUGGAACUUCUGGUGGAGCGGUGAAAUGCGUAGAUAUCAGAAGGAACGCCGGUGGCGAAAGCGAGGUCCUGGACGUUUUCUGACGCUGAGACGCGAAAGCUAGGGUAGCGAACGGGAUUAGAUACCCCGGUAGUCCUAGCUGUAAACGAUGGGCACUAAGUAGAGGGGUUUU